GCCAGGGUGGCAUAGUUGUUUGACUGUUGGACUAGGACUCUGGAGACCAGGGUUCAAUUCCCAGCCCGGAAA